rnacentral:rRNA from 1 species
CUUUGUGAACUUAUACCUAUCUGUUGCCUCGGCGCAGGCCGGCCUCUUCACUGAGGCCCCCUGGAAACAGGGAGCAGCCCGCCGGCGGCCAACUAAACUCUUGUUUCUAUAGUGAAUCUCUGAGUAAAAAACAUAAAUGAAUCAAAACUUUCAACAACGGAUCUCUUGGUUCUGGCAUCGAUGAAGAACGCAGCGAAAUGCGAUAAGUAAUGUGAAUUGCAGAAUUCAGUGAAUCAUCGAAUCUUUGAACGCACAUUGCGCCCUCUGGUAUUCCGGAGGGCAUGCCUGUUCGAGCGUCAUUUCAACCCUCAAGCCUGGCUUGGUGAUGGGGCACUGCCUUCUAACGAGGGCAGGCCCUGAAAUCUAGUGGCGAGCUCGCUAGGACCCCGAGCGUAGUAGUUAUAUCUCGUUCUGGAAGGCCCUGGCGGUGCCCUGCCGUUAAACCCCCAACUUCUGAAAAUUUGACCUCGGAUCAGGUAGGAAUACCCGCUGAACUUAAGCAUAUCAAUA